AACUCUGGACUCCAGGCUAAGCCAGAUUGUGAAUAGAGUAACCCCCUUCCCCACUACCACGUGGCUGCAGUGCCUUCGUUUUGGCGGAAACUGAAGAAAAAUUUCUCAAAACGAUUGACAGCCAGCGCGCCAGAGUAAUUUAUUCAGAUAUAGAACAUUAGUCUUGAAAUAAAAAUCCAAUCUGGAUAGUCCACUUAGUAUCACAUAUUUGUUAAACACUCUUGAUUGUAAUUUGCAAAUAAAAAUAUAUAAAAGGAAUCUUGAUGUAAGACUGGAUAUUUGUAUAGAGGCACAUAUAAUAGCUAAGCUUGGGUAUAUCCAUUUACAUAACAUUAGACCUGACAUAAAAAUCCAAUUUGUAUAGUCCAUUAUAUUUCAUAGAGGUUUGAGCCCACAGAUACACCUAUGGAUAUCCUCAUGAAUUUCAUGUGACGGGAUAAAAAUUAAAUAUGGAUAAUCAUCAAUAUUACAUAAUUAUGAGGCACUCUUAAACGUAAUUUAUAAAUAAAAACAUCAAAAUUAUUUCUAUUUUAAAACUGGAUUCUCCGAUAAAAACUAACUUCUACUGUAGAAUUUCA